rnacentral:rRNA from 1 species
UUUGCCUACGGGAGGCAGCAGUGGGGAAUAUUGGUCAAUGGGCGGAAGCCUGAACCAGCCAAGUCGCGUGAGGGAAGAAGGCCCUGCGGGUCGCAUACCUCUUUGGACGGGGAGCAAGGCCGCCGACGUGUCGGCGGAAGGAGGGUACCCGUAGAACAAGCAUCGGCUAACUCCGUGCCAGCAGCCGCGGUAAUACGGAGGACGCGAGCGUUAUCCGGAUUUAUUGGGUUUAAAGGGUGCGCAGGCGGCACGGCAAGCCGGCGGUCAAAUCGCGGGGCUCAACCCCGCCCAGCCGCCGGAACUGC